UUGGAUGAACCCUUGAGACCCUGCCAUGGAUAGCUGUCACUCACAGUCUUAUUCUCACAGGGACCCAUGGCUGAAGGAAUGUUUGUGGACCAUGCACAGAGAGUAACAAUGGUCGGCAUAGCACCAUCAGGCAUUUCUUGUCUAAGGAAGACUUGCAGCUGACUACACCGCAGUCUGUGAAUGAUCUCCCAGGUCCAAGGACGGGAGACACACACCAGUGGACCCUUCCGAGCCAGUGUGUUGACCCCUGACCAGCCUCAUCGGAACCCACGAUCUGGAUACAUACACAAACGCCCUGAGCUGUUGGGCCUCCGGCGUGCUCUAGGGAAACAAACAACAGGUGAAGUUUGAUGGACAGAACUAGACGCGCCUGAGACUGCCCCUCCCCAGCAAAGCACACCCGUGAGUGAGGGACAGUGGUGGCCGUCAUGUGUAGAGGAGGCUUUUGCUUCCUAGUUGCUGAGAUCCUAGUCCUGCAGGAGAAGACAACCAAUGGGUGGGUGCCCCCACCCUCGUGGCCACAGGGAAUCCCUGGACAGGUGACAAGGCUGCCCCCAAGGCAAGGCUGCUCCUCGCUGGGCUCGCUGAAGAGGCACCUGUGAUCUGGUCAGAGGGGGUGAAAAAGUGCGGGAAGCACAGGUAUUUUCUCAGUGGUGUCGGCUCCUACAAAGUCAAAGGGGGCGUCCUGGCCGGGAAGGCCCCAGUGGACCGACUGAGGGCCAGGCCCCAAGUGUCUUCCUAAAAGUGACGUUGUCCCAUCUGACUGCCACUCACGUGCUCUGGCCACGAGCAUCCCCAGCUGCUCUGAAUGAUGGUGGAACUACAAGUGUGCCCCAGCACAGCGAGUGUGCCGUCGCCUCCCACGGCACUCCCUGUGCCCUGCACUCGUGGACCCCAGGUGCCCUGACUGUGUUCGCGGACAGUCGUUUCUCCAGCCACACUGUGGCGCCAGCCCCUGUGACAGCAACAGAGGUGCCCUGGCCCGGUGGCCCUGAGGCAUCUGACCGAAGGCACGAAGAGCAGCAUCUU